GAUGAACGCUGGCGGCGUGCCUAAUACAUGCAAGUCGAGCGAACGGACGAUAAGCGUUCGUUUCUGAUGGUAGCGGGUGACGGGUGAGUGACACGUGCAUAACCUACUUAUAAUACUUGGAGGACUUCGUGAAACCGCAUCUAAUACCGGAUAAUAUGUUGAACCGCUGGGUGCAAAAGUGAAUGACGGUCUGGCUGUCACUUAUAGAUGGAGCCGCGCUGCAUUAGCUAGUUGGUAAGGUAACGGCUUACCAAGGCAACGAUGCAUAGCCGACCUGAGAGGAUGAUCGGCCACACUGGAACUGAGACACGGUCCAGACUCCUACGGGAGGCAGCAGUAGGGAAUAUUCCGCAAUGGGCGAAAGCCUGAUCGAGCCACACCGCGUGAGUGAUGAAGGUCUUCGGAUCGUAAAACUCUGUUAUUAGGGAAGAAAAUAUGUAUAAGUAAAUGUGGACAUCCUGACGGUACCUAAUCAGAAAGCCACGGCUAACUACGUG
rnacentral:rRNA from 1 species